rnacentral:tRNA from 1 species
GUGGGUAUAGCUCAGUGGUAGAGCCUGUGCUUAGCAUGUGCGAGGCCCUGGGUUCAAUCCCCAGUCCCUGCA